rnacentral:rRNA from 1 species
GAUGAACGCUGGCGGCGUGCCUAAUACAUGCAAGUCGAGCGAACGGACGAGAAGCUUGCUUUUCUGAUGUUAGCGGCGGACGGGUGAGUAACACGUGGAUAACCUACCUAUAAGACUGGGAUAACUUCGGGAAACCGGAGCUAAUACCGGAUAAUAUUUUGAACCGCAUGGUUCAAAAGUGAAAGACGGUCUUGCUGUCACUUAUAGAUGGAUCCGCGCUGCAUUAGCUAGUUGGUAAGGUAACGGCUUACCAAGGCAACGAUGCAUAGCCGACCUGAGAGGGUGAUCGGCCACACUGGAACUGAGACACGGUCCAGACUCCUACGGGAGGCAGCAGUAGGGAAUCUUCCGCAAAGGGCGAAAGCCUGACGGAGCAACGCCGCGUGAGUGAUGAAGGUCUUCGGAUCGUAAAACUCUGUUAUUAGGGAAGAACAUAUGUGUAAGUAACUGUGCACAUCUUGACGGUACCUAAUCGGAAAGCCACGGCUAACUACGUG